rnacentral:rRNA from 1 species
UACGAAGGGUGCAAGCGUUAAUCGGAAUUACUGGGCGUAAAGCGUGCGUAGGUGGUUUGUUAAGUCUGCUGUGAAAGCCCCGGGCUCAACCUGGGAAUGGCGAUGGAUACUGGCUCGCUAGAGUGCGGUAGAGGAGAGUGGAAUUCCCGGUGUAGCAGUGAAAUGCGUAGAGAUCGGGAGGAACAUCAGUUGCGAAGGCGGCUCUCUGGACCAGCACUGACACUGAGGCACGAAAGCGUGGGGAGCAAACAGG